rnacentral:rRNA from 1 species
UACGUAGGGGGCAAGCGUUGUCCGGAAUUAUUGGGCGUAAAGCGCGCGCAGGCGGCUUAUUAAGUCUGAUGUGAAAGCCCACGGCUCAACCGUGGAGGGCCAUUGGAAACUGGUAGGCUUGAGUGCAGGAGAGGAGAGCGGAAUUCCCGGUGUAGCGGUGAAAUGCGUAGAUAUCGGGAAGAACACCCGUGGCGAAGGCGGCUCUCUGGGACGGUACUGACGCUGAGACGCGAAAGCGUGGGGAGCGAACAGG